UUAUUAUAUUUAUUAUUUUCAGAGGAUACCUUAUUCUACAGCUGGUUUCUACACUGGAAAGAAGCCACAGAAGAAUGAAGCAACAUUGAGUGACUCCCUCAAUGAUAUUGAUAUUAAUAAAGAAUGUGAUGAUACAUCAACUGAACAAAGCAUUAGCAGUAAAGAAGACAGAGAGAAAGAAAGAGAACAAGAUGGUGAUAAAGAUACAGCACUAACUAAUGACAGUCUUGAGGAACAAAUAGAAGAAGAGGAGGAGGAGGAGGAAAGAGG